AUUGAACGCUGGCGGCAUGCUUUACACAUGCAAGCCGAACGGCAGCGCGGGCUUCGGCCUGGCGGCGAGUGGCGAACGGGUGAGUAAUGCAUCGGAACGUGCCCAGUAGUGGGGGAUAGCCCGGCGAAAGCCGGAUUAAUACCGCAUACGACCUGAGGGUGAAAGCGGGGGACCGAAAGGCCUCGCGCUAUUGGAGCGGCCGAUGUCGGAUUAGCUAGUUGGUGGGGUAAAGGCUUACCAAGGCGACGAUCCGUAGCUGGUCUGAGAGGACGACCAGCCACACUGGGACUGAGACACGGCCCAGACUCCUACGGGAGGCAGCAGUGGGGAAUUUUGGACAAUGGGGGCAACCCUGAUCCAGCCAUGCCGCGUGCGGGAAGAAGGCCUUCGGGUUGUAAACCGCUUUUGUUCGGGAAGAAAUCCUCUGGGCUAAUACCCCGGGGGGAUGACGGCACCGGAAGAAUAAGCACCGGCUAACUACGUG
rnacentral:rRNA from 1 species